rnacentral:rRNA from 1 species
CGGACUUCGGUCUGGUGGCGAGUGGCGAACGGGUGAUUAAUGUAUCGGAACGUGCCUAGUAGCGGGGGAUAACUACGCGAAAGCGUGGCUAAUACCGCAUACGCCCUACGGGGGAAAGCAGGGGACCGCAAGGCCUUGCGCGGACGGAGCGGCCGAUGGCAGAUUAGGUAGUUGGUGGGAUAAAAGCUUACCAAGCCGACGAUCUGUAGCUGGUCUGAGAGGACGACCAGCCACACUGGGACUGAGACACGGCCCAGACUCCUACAGGAGGCAGCAGUGGGGAAUUUUGGACAAUGGGCGAAAGCCUGAUCCAGCCAUGCCGCGUGCAGGAUGAAGGCCUUCGGGUUGUAAACUGCUUUUGUACGGAACGAAAAGACUCCUUCUAAUAAAGGGGGUCCAUGACGGUACCGUAAGAAUAAGCACCGGCUAACUACGUGCCAGCAGCCGCGGUAAUACGUAGGGUGCAAGCGUUAAUCGGAAUUACUGGGCGUAAAGCGUGCGCAGGCGGUUCGGAAAGAAAGAUGUGAAAUCCCAGAGCUUAACUUUGGAACUGCAUUUUUAACUACCGAGCUAGAGUGUGUCAAGAGUG